rnacentral:rRNA from 1 species
AGUGAACGCUGGCGGUAGGCCUAACACAUGCAAGUCGAACGGCAGCACAGUAAGAGCUUGCUCUUACGGGUGGCGAGUGGCGGACGGGUGAGGAAUACAUCGGAAUCUACUUUUUCGUGGGGGAUAACGUAGGGAAACUUACGCUAAUACCGCAUACGACCUACGGGUGAAAGCAGGGAAUCUUCGGACCUUGCGCGAUUGAAUGAGCCGAUGUCGGAUUAGCUAGUUGGCGGGGUAAAGGCCCACCAAGGCGACGAUCCGUAGCUGGUCUGAGAGGAUGAACAGCCACACUGGAACUGAGACACGGUCCAGACUCCUACGGGAGGCAGCAGUGGGGAAUAUUGGACAAUGGGCGCAAGCCUGAUCCAGCCAUACCGCGUGGGUGAAGAAGGCCUUCGGGUUGUAAAGCCCUUUUGUUGGGAAAGAAAAGCAGCAGGUUAAUACCCCGCUGUUCUGACGGUACCCAAAGAAUAAGCACCGGCUAACUUCGUG